rnacentral:rRNA from 1 species
UACGGAGGGGGCUAGCGUUGUUCGGAAUUAUUGGGCGUAAAGGGCGCGUAGGCGGCCGGAUAAGUCUGACGUGAAAUCCCUCGGCCUAACCGAGGAACUGCGUCUGAAACUGUCUGGCUCGAGUCCGGGAGAGGGUAGCGGAAUUCCCAGUGUAGCGGUGAAAUGCGUAGAUAUUGGGAGGAACACCGGUGGCGAAGGCGGCUACCUGGACCGGUACUGACGCUGAGGCGCGAAAGCGUGGGUAGCAAACAGG